AUUGAACGCUGGCGGCAUGCUUUACACAUGCAAGUCGAACGGCAGCGCGGGGCAACCUGGCGGCGAGUGGCGAACGGGUGAGUAAUAUAUCGGAACGUACCCAGAAGUGGGGGAUAACGUAGCGAAAGUUACGCUAAUACCGCAUACGAUCUACGGAUGAAAGUGGGGGACCUUCGGGCCUCAUGCUUGUGGAGCGGCCGAUAUCUGAUUAGCUAGUUGGUAGGGUAAAGGCUUACCAAGGCGACGAUCAGUAGCUGGUCUGAGAGGACGACCAGCCACACUGGGACUGAGACACGGCCCAGACUCCUACGGGAGGCAGCAGUGGGGAAUUUUGGACAAUGGGCGCAAGCCUGAUCCAGCAAUGCCGCGUGAGUGAAGAAGGCCUUCGGGUUGUAAAGCUCUUUUGUCAGGGAAGAAACGGUGCGGACUAAUAUUCUGCGCUAAUGACGGUACCUGAAGAAUAAGCACCGGCUAACUCUGUGCCAGCAGCCGCCGUAA
rnacentral:rRNA from 1 species